rnacentral:rRNA from 1 species
CGAAAGAGCACUCUAAUGAGACUGCCGGUGACAAACCGGAGGAAGGUGGGGAUGACGUCAAGUCCUCAUGGCCCUUAUGGGUAGGGCUUCACACGUCAUACAAUGGUACAUACAGAGGGCCGCCAACCCGCGAGGGGGAGCUAAUCCCAGAAAGUGUAUCGUAGUCCGGAUUGUAGUCUGCAACUCGACUGCAUGAAGUUGGAAUCGCUAGUAAUCGCGGAUCAGCAUGUCGCGGUGAAUACGUUCCCGGGUCUUGUACA